rnacentral:SRP_RNA from 1 species
GCUGAGCACAGUGGCAAGCACCUGUCUCUCAGCUACUCGUGAGGCUGAGACAGGAGGAUGGCUUGAGCCCAGGGGUUCUGGGCUGUAGUGCACUAUGCCAAUCAGAUGUCUGCACUAAGUUUGGCAUCAAUAUGGUGAUCUCCUUUGGGUGGGGAGCCACCAGGUUGCCUAAGGAGGGGUGAACCACCCCAUCAGAAGUGGAGCAGGUCAAAACUGCUGUGCUGAUCAGUAGUGGGAUUAUGCCUGUGAAUAGCCAAUACACUACAGCCUGGACAACAUAGCAAGACCCCAUCUCU